UACGUAGGGUCCGAGCGUUGUCCGGAAUUAUUGGGCGUAAAGGGCUCGUAGGCGGUUUGUCGCGUCGGGAGUGAAAUCCACUGGCUUAACUGGUGGCUUGCUUUCGAUACGGGCAGACUGGAGGUAUGCAGGGGAGAACGGAAUUCCUGGUGUAGCGGUGAAAUGCGCAGAUAUCAGGAGGAACACCGGUGGCGAAGGCGGUUCUCUGGGCAUGUCCUGACGCUGAGGAGCGAAAGUGUGGGGGAGACGAAGCAUGGAUUAGACGUACCCACGU
rnacentral:rRNA from 1 species